rnacentral:rRNA from 1 species
UAGGGAAUCUUCGGCAAUGGACGAAAGUCUGACCGAGCAACGCCGCGUGAGUGAAGAAGGUUUUCGGAUCGUAAAACUCUGUUGUUAGAGAAGAACAAGGACGUUAGUAACUGAACGUCCCCUGACGGUAUCUAACCAGAAAGCCACGGCUAACUACGUGCCAGCAGCCGCGGUAAUACGUAGGUGGCAAGCGUUGUCCGGAUUUAUUGGGCGUAAAGCGAGCGCAGGCGGUUUCUUAAGUCUGAUGUGAAAGCCCCCGGCUCAACCGGGGAGGGUCAUUGGAAGCUGGGAGGCUUGAGUGCAGAAGAGGAGAGUGGAAUUCCAUGUGUAGCGGGGAAAUGCGUAGAUAUAGGGAGGAACACCAGUGGCGAAGGCGGCUCUCUGGUCUGUAACUGACGCUGAGGCUCGAAAGCGUGGGGAGCAAACAGG